GAGUGGGACUAAGCCUGCGAGUUAACGCAGCAAUGCGUGGCAUACGGCUCAGUAACACGUAGUCAACAUAACCAGGGGACGUGGAUAACCUCGGGAAACUGAGGAUAAACCGCGAUAGGCCAAGAUUUCUGGAAUGGGUCAUGGCCGAAAUCUACAUGGCCCCUGGAUUGGACUGCGGCCGAUCAGGCUGUUGGUGAGGUAAUGGCCCACCAAACCUGUAACCGGUACGGGCUCUGAGAGGAGGAGCCCGGAGAUGGGCACUGAGACAAGGGCCCAGGCCCUAUGGGGCGCAGCAGGCGCGAAACCUUCUGCAAUAGGCGAAAGCUUGACAGGGUUACUCUGAGUGAUGCCCGUUAAGGGCAUCUUUUGGCACUUCUAAAAAUAGUGUAGAAUAAGGGGUGGGCAAGUCUGGUGUCAGCCGCCGCGGUAAUACCAGCACCCCGAGUGGUCGGGACGAUUAUUGGGCCUAAAGCAUCCGUAGCCGGUUCUGCAAGUCUUCCGUUAAAUCCACCUGCUCAACAGAUGGGCCGCGGGGGAUACUACAGGGCUAGGAGGCGGGAGAGGCAAGCGGUACUCGGUGGGUAGGGGUAAAAUCCUCUGAUCCACCGAAGACCACCAGUGGCGAAGGCGGCUUGCCAGAACGCGCUCGACGGUGAGGGAUGAAAGCUGGGGGAGCAAACCGGAUUAGAUACCCGGGUAGUCCCAGCUGUAAACGAUGCAGACUCGGUGAUGGGUUGGCUUUGAGCCAACCCAGUGCCGCAGGGAAGCCGUUAAGUCUGCCGCCUGGGGAGUACGGUCGCAAGACUGAAACUUAAAGGAAUUGGCGGGGGAGCACCACAAGGGGUAAGCCUCGUC
rnacentral:rRNA from 1 species